rnacentral:rRNA from 1 species
UACGUAGGGUGCAAGCGUUAUCCGGAAUCAUUGGGUUUAAAGGGUCCGUAGGCGGGUCUGUAAGUCAGUGGUGAAAUCUCCCGGCUCAACCGGGAAAUUGCCAUUGAUACUGCAGGUCUUGAAUUAUUGGGAAGUAACUAGAAUAUGUAGUGUAGCGGUAAAAGGCUUAGAGAUUACAUGGAAGACCAAUUGCGAAGGCAGGUUACUAUCAAUAUAUUGACGCUGAUGGACGAAAGCGUGGGGAGCGAACAGG